AUUUCUGAGCGCUUAGCCAGGAGUAACCCCUGAGCAUCAAACGGGUGUGGCCCGAAAAAUAAAACAAAAAAAAUUGCCAUGAUCUGAAGAAGGAGGAUUUCUUUGUGUCCUUUUACAUGAAAUGGCUGAACAGAAAAAA